rnacentral:rRNA from 1 species
AUCAUAGUCAAAAUCUGAGUUUGAUCCUGGCUCAGAAGGAACGCUAGCUAUAUGCUUAACACAUGCAAGUCGAACGUUGUUUUCGGGGAGCUGGGCAGAAGGAAAAGAGGCUCCUAGCUAAAGUUGUCUCGCCCUGCUUCAAAACUACAGGGCGCGCGCUACGGCUUUGACCUAACGGCCUCCAUUUGCUGGAAUCGGAAUAGUUGAGAACAAAGUGGCGAACG